GUCCAGACUCCUACGGGAGGCAGCAGUGGGGAAUAUUGCACAAUGGGGGAAACCCUGAUGCAGCAACGCCGCGUGAGUGAGGAAGUAUUUCGGUAUGUAAAGCUCUAUCAGCAGGGAAUAGAAAAGAAGGUACCUGAAAAAGAAGCCCCGGCUAACUACGUGCCAGCAGCCGCGGUAAUACGUAGGGGGCAAGCGUUAUCCGGAUUUACUGGGUGUAAAGGGAGCGUAGGCGGUUUAGCAAGUCAGAAGUGAAAGCCCGGGGCUCAACUCCGGGACUUCUUUUGAAACUGUUGAACUAGAUUGCAGGAGAGGUAAGUGGAAUUCCUAGUGUAGCGGUGAAAUGCGUAGAUAUCAGGAGGAACACCGGUGGCGAAGGCGGCCUGCUGGACUGCAACUGACGUUGAGGCCCGAAAGCGUGGGGAGCAAACAGGAUUAGAUACCCCGGUA
rnacentral:rRNA from 1 species